CAGAGACUAUCAGCCACGUGUUGAACAGGCUGAGCAGCACCAUCAACAUUUCAAAUACGGUACACUGUUGCCACCUACCGUGGAAGUCUCCAGGCCUAUGAGUCCCCAUGGUGUGCUCUUCUCAGGCGAAGCUAGGCCAGUGGGUCACCAGGGUACACUUUCUCGACCUGCUGUAGAAGUGGUUAGGCCUGAAGGGAACCAGUGUCACAGGCCGUGGUCUGGAGCUUCUACAAGCACCAGUUAUCAUUCCCC